rnacentral:rRNA from 1 species
AACGUAGGUGGCAAGCGUUAUCCGGAAUUACUGGGCGUAAAGGGUGUGCAGGCGGGGGAACAAGUGGUGUAUGAAAUCUCCCAGCUUAACUGGGAUAGGUCAUGCCAGACUGUUCUUCUAGAGGACGAGAGAGGGGGGUGGAAUUCCGGGUGUAGUGGUGAAAUGCGUAGAGAUCCGGAGGAACCCCAGAGGCGAAGGCGGCCCCCUGGCUCGUACCUGACGCUCAGCCACGAAAGCAUGGGGAGCGAACGGG